UAUAUUUGCAGACUCAUUCAUAAUACAUAAAAAUUAUUAAAAAAAUAUUGGCAUG
rfam:Flavobacteriaceae bacterium TMED212 86798, whole genome shotgun sequence.